rnacentral:misc_RNA from 1 species
CUCGCUGAUCUGCCUAAGCUUUGAAGGAGAGUGUUGACAGGAUAUGAAGAUUAGCAUCAACUACUCAAGCAUCAUAUGUCCAGCAGUGCUCCAAGAAGCACCCAAUAAGCAAAUAUGGCUCUCCAACAUAGACCUAUUGCUUGGAGGAGGUCACACUCCUAUUUUGUACCUUUACAAGCCAAAUGGGCCAUUCUCUUCCAAUUUCUUUGAUGUUAAGGUCCUUAAGGAGGCCUUAAAACAAGUCCUUGUGCUAUAUUACUCUGUGGCUGGGAGAUUGAGAAAGCAUGAUAAUGGCAAGACUGAAAUAAACUGCAAUGGAGAGGGAGUACUAUUCAUAGAAGCUCAAGCAAAUUCUGCUAUGGUUGACAUUAAUGACUUCACGCCUAGCCAACAACUUUGGCAGCUUAUUCCAGUUGUUGAGUAUUCAAAUGGCAUCUCUUCGUAUCCCCUUCUUCUUCUACAGGUAACCAAAUUUGCAUGUGGUGGAGUAUCCCUCGGAAUUGGGUGGCAUCAUAUUCUAGCAGAUGGCGUUGGCUUCACCAAUUUCAUGAUUGCAUGGGGCAACAUAGUUCGAGGCCUCCCCAUCGGCAUCCCUCCUUCCUUCGAUCGAACCAUUCUCAGCCACCGAGUCCCGCCAACUCCAACAAUCCACCACCACGAAUAUGGAUCCCCACCCACAUUGAACUCUUCUAGUAUCACUACUCACAACCCACAAUACCAAUCAGCUUCUAAAUCCAAUAAUUCUCUAAAAAUCCUUAAGAUUACGCCUGCUCAAAUCAAAAUCCUGAAAGUUGCAAUUUCCAAGUACACCACCUUUGAGAUCCUAACUGGGCAUAUAUGGCGUUGCGUGAGCGAGGCACGUGGCUUACCGAGUGAACAAGCAACCAUGGUAUACAUAUCCGUCGAAGGCCGGUCUAGGCUGUGUCCUCCAGCUCCCCGUGGCUACUUCGGCAAUGCAGUCUUCCAUACUACAACAACUGCUUUAGCUGGUGAGCUCAUAUCAGAACCAUUAGUUAAGACGGUAAAGAGAAUUCACGAGGCAAUAAAAAGGGUGGAUGAUGAGUAUAUAAGAUCAGCUAUUGACAAUUUGGAGGAACAAAUGAUAUGGGACAACCCACCAAGUGUUAUGAAAGAUCCCCAGAGCACUUGCAGCAGCCCAAACCUCAAGAUUGUUAGUUGGAUGAGCAUGCCUUUUUAUGAUGCUGCUGAUUUUGGAUGGGGCAGGCCAGUGUAUAUGAGGGCUACAAAUCCAUGGGAAGGCAAGGGACAUAUAGUAUCAAGUCCAAACAAAGAUGGGAGUUUGUUAUUGCUCAUUUGCUUAGAAACCCACCAUAUCCCAUCCUUUGAAAAGCUAUUUUAUGGCUUGAUUUCUGACAAAAUAGGCCUAAUUGGCAACUCUCGCAUUUGAGAGCAAGGGCUUAACUUGAACAAUUGUUGCUCGGUCAAGUUUUGGUGACAGCUCCUCCCUCCCUUUCUCAUAUCACUUUUAUUUUCCCUUGCUCUUGAUUUCUUAUGUUUUUUAUGUUUGUUUUUGUAUUUCUAUUAAAGAUGCUUAGAGCAAAGUUCUUGUACUAUUUUACCAUUUGGCAGGGAGAUUGGCAAUGGAUGAUAAGGGCAAACUGGAAAUUAAUUGAAACAAUGAGAGAGUUUUGUUCAUAAGAGG